UACAGAGACUGCAAGCGUUAUUCGGAUUCACUAGGCGUAAAGGGUGCGCAGGCGGUCGGGUGUGUCAGAUGUGAAAUCCCGAGGCUCAACCUCGGAACUGCGUCUGAAACUACUCGACUAGAGUACUGGAGAGGGUAACGGAAUUCACGGUGUAGCAGUGAAAUGCGUAGAUAUCGUGAGGAACACCAGAGGCGAAGGCGGUUACCUGGACAGUUACUGACGCUCAGGCACGAAAGCAUGGGGAGCAAAAGGG
rnacentral:rRNA from 1 species